rnacentral:rRNA from 1 species
AUGGUAUCAGGCGGGUUUGUCUGCAACUGCGGCGCGACGAAGAUGGGCGGCGCCAGCUGCAACUGCGGCUCCUACUUACUACCAAAAGGGGGUAAGCUAACUAAGCGGCAAAAGGCGCUUGUAACGAACAAAAUCUCAGAGAUAGGAUCUGCAUCACCUCUGUUUGUGAAGGUGAUGACGGCAGACCUUAUAAAGAGGAAGCCAGAACUGUAUUUCUGCAAGGCAUAUGUUUUGACGUGCCGCCUCUGGCACGAAGAAUGGCACGAACAAACAAUACCUCUCACACUUUUGCUGGAAGAUCGGACGAUGAAUACAUGGCUGCUCAUCGGAGAAUAUAUGGCUGUGAAGAUGUGGAAUAGCAUAUAUUGCUGGAACCUCUUGGUUGAAGAGGCCGAGAUCAAGCCCGGAGAGAUCUGCCUCUUCCAACUGGUAGAGAGGAGCGGAGGGCGGAUCACGAUGCGGGUCCAUGUGAUCCGCAAGUCGGAAAUGCUGCAGUUUAGCCUCGAGGAGCCUCGCACGAAAGAAAUCAACGUCAGAAAGCCUCGCAUGAAGGAGACACGCGAGGAGCCUCGCACGGAGGAGACCCACUUGUCCCCGGCGGGAGGAUACGUUGGCAAUCCUCACGCUGAGCCCUCCGGAGGGAGCUCGAGCGAGCCCCGCGGGAGCGACAACGACAGCCGCCCCAAGCCGAUUGUGAAGAGGCGUCUCUUGCCUUCACCUUGCGAGUCCCCCGAAAAGAAGAUGAAGAUGCAGUUAGAGGCCACGACGUCCAUCGAGCUCUCACUGGAGGCGCCCGCUGAGGAGACCCAUCCGCCCCAGUAG